rnacentral:piRNA from 1 species
AAUGAAGAGCCUUCAGAGGAGGG